rnacentral:lncRNA from 1 species
CUGGAGCGGAGUCAGCAGCCAGGACCGCGCUCAUAGAGGCGGCGGCGACAAUGACGGCGCAGGAGAUCUUCUUCAUGUCCAUGGUAUUGAAGAAUAGGCUUAGUGAGAGUCGAGAGACCUGCUGCGAGAUGGAAAACAAAAUUUAUUAAUUUGGUUUUCUUUAUAUGUUUAUAUGUUAUUGUUCUUCACGCAGGUCUGAAGAACAAGGAUGAAGGUGAGGUGCAUUUUAUAGGGGAAAUUCAUGUCUAUUUUAAGCAACAAAUGGUUUCUCAUUAGCUUAAAAAUAGGCUUAGGCUUAUGUGGGGUUUUGCAUGUUUUGAGGAUUGAAAUUGACAUGCAUCAUCUUUAAAAAGUUAAAAUUUUAAUUUUCCAUUAAAACCCUUACAUGAAACCAAAUAGGAAUUUACUUAAUUACCAUUUUUUUAUAAAUAUAUAAAAAUAUAUAUGAUAAGUUAUGUCUUCUUUAUUUUUGGUUGCAAAAGAGGUAACUAUUGGUUCCACUAGACCUGUUUGAAAAGUGUGAAAGUUAGUAUAAAUUCAAAAAAUAGAUUUAGAUAAAAAAAUAAAGCUUAUUUAGAAAAUAAGUUGGACCUCGGGUAAAAUUUUUUAGCUCAAGUCCAGCCCGACUCGACUCAUGGAUACCUCUAAUUUCCACUUGUGCUUAUUGAAUAUAUUGAAUUGAAGUGGUAUGAUGAUAUAAUGAAUCGUUACAUUGAAUGGAUAAAUAAUGGAAACUAUGAAGCAUGAUGUUAUAUUGACACUUAAGAAAUGGUUUGAUUGAUAUUUAAGGCUCACUAAAAAUGAUUUCUAGAAAAUGAUUUGUUUUUCUGGAAAAGCUAAUAUUUUCUGGUGUUUGGUGUUUGGAUGAAUCUGUGUAAAAUAUUUUCUUUUGUUUGACAGACUUAAAAAUAUUUUAUAAAAUUUGUUUUCAAUGAAACAAACAUAGAUUCGAGAUUUUCUUAUCUUUUAAUUAUUUAAUUGAGUUUAUUUUAUAUCUAUAAUUUUAUAUUUUACAUUGUUUUUUGCAUAUAUUAAAAAUGUUUUGUUAAAUUCAUGUUCAUUACAACGUUAUUUUUUAGUUGCAUGAUUACCAAGUGAGUAUUUUUUAUUUAAAAAAAUGUGAUAUCAACAAAAUUGACAAAAAUUUAACAAUGUCAACAAUUGGACUUGAUUUUCAAAUAUGAAAAGAACAGAAACUAAAUUCUUGAAAAUAAAAGUACAGAGACAAAAUUACAAAUUUGUGAAGAGUACAUAGAGACUUAUGACAUAUUUUAACCUUUAUACUACAAAAUAUUUAUUAUUAAUAUAUUUGUAAUUGUAAUAAAUAUUUAUUAUUAUUGGUUAAUAAUAAAUAUUUAUUAUUAAAAUAUUAAUAUUGAAUAUUUUUAAUAAUAUGUGAUGAAUAUUAUCUAAAAUUUUUAUUUUUAAAAUUUAUUAUUAAAUAAAAUCAAAAUAUUUAUUAAAAUAAUAAAUUAUAUUAAUUAUAUUAAUAAUUUAUUAUAUGACUAAAUAUAAAUAAUUAAAUAGGUAUGUUUAAUAAUAUUGAAAAAUAUAAUAUUUUAUAUUAAUAUUUUAAAUAUUUUUAAAAAUAAAAAUAAAAAUUCUUAUUAAUAUAAUAAUAUUAAGCUUGAUUUAAGUUAUUUUUUAUAUAAAAAAUUAUCUAUAGAGGAGCUCUUUUUCGAAAAAUGACUUGCGCUUUUCAAAAGGGUAAGUCAUUUUACAAGAAAAAUGACUUAUUUUCCGUUGACCUGUAAGUCAUUUUCCGUUGACCAAACUAUUUUUUGUGAAUCAAACACAAAAAAUGCAGAAAAUAUUUUCCGUAAAACCUUUUACAUGUAAAUAAAUGGACCCUAAGUUAAAUUUGUAUUAUGUGCAAUUUGAUUGGACUCAAGUAUGAUAUUUGAAUUAUGAAAUUGAAUAUUGUGCCAUGUACACAUAUGUGUAACCAAUUUUUGAAAAUUCUCUAGUAAACCACUAUGAAUAAAUUUGGAUAUAAUUGGUAUGCUAACAAAACUUUAGUAGCAUUGUGUAUUAUAUUCUACUGAUAAAGCAAGAAUUGAUGUUUACAUAUUUGCUUUAUUGCACUAUGUGCAUAAUUGGUGUGAUGGAGGACAUAUGAUUCAUGUUAUAUAUGUUAAUUGGUGUGAUGGAGGAUUAUGUUUAAGCUCAUGAGCCAUCGGUGUGAUGGAUGAAUUAUUUUGAAUAUCUAGAUUAACCCUUCUCUUACAUAUAAUGGUAAACAUGAUAAAUGUUAUACUUCCUAUCCAGAAGGGAAAUGAGGCACCAUGAGAAGACAUAUGUGGACAAUCCUCUGCUUAUUUCCCGACCUAUACAAUACUUGGUAUAUUCUCCACCUAAGUGCUUAAACAAUUCUCUACUGCUCAACUAGUCACUAGAUGAUCAAUCACUCAGGCAUCUCAUCCUCCAGGUCACCCUCUUUUAGUUGGUGCAUGCUCACCUCCAAAGAGGGGACCUCUAAGGGGCCAUUAGACAUAACAACCUCAUACAGUCAAGGGAAUAUCAAAACAGUACCAUGCAUGAGGAAAACCCAAGCACAAUAGCUUUGCCACCUGAUGAUCAUCAUGUCCUAUAUUUGUCGGUGACGUGAACUCAUGGGGCAUGAGACCUCUUCCCUAUAAAUACCCUGUAGAACAAUGAAAGAUCGAUCCUUUAGCCUUUCAACAACCUUAAGCACUCCUCAACAGUCAACCUCCUUUGCUACCUCCCCCUCACUUAUUUUCUUUGUAAUACCCCGUAAAUUUUUACAAUAAAAUAUUAUCUUUGAUAUAGUAAGGAAAUAAAGUGGAAAAAAGAAGAAUUUUGAGUUAUGAAAAUAUUGAGAAGUAUAUUAUGAAAUAUUAAUUCAAGAAAGGAUUAAAUUGCAAAAGUGAGAAAAGUUUUGUUACCCAAGAGUAAAUACUCAAAAUUUGAGGGGUUAAAGUGUAAAUAUGAAAAAGUUGAAGGACCAAUAGUGUAAAUAUUUUAAGGGUGGAAUAAUCUAGAAACUAAGGAAAAUGGAUGAAUUAGGACCAAAUUGAAAAGCUAGAGAAUUUUGAGGGACUAAAUCGUAAUUUUACCAAAUUAAGUGAUGACUCAAGGAUGAAAUUUUAAAGAUUAUAAAGGGAAAAAUGGUCAAUUAGAAGAGAGAUAAAUCUAGAAGAUAAUGAUGAUGUUGGAGAUAUUUUAUAUUAAAUAAAUAAAUAAAUAUUAGUUUAUUAAUAUUUUAAUUUAAUUUUUAAAUGAUAUUUUAUUAUUUUAUUAAUAUUUUAUUUAGUAUAUAUAAGAAAAGGAAGAUGAAGAAUCAUCAAUUCCAUCAUAUUUCCAUGCAACUAACGUGAGAAGAGUGGAGAAGAAAGAAAGUUUUGCUUUCUUUACAAUUUGGUCCUUCCACAAAAAAUUUACCAUUUUCACCUAGAAAUCAAAAGAAAUUCCAUAGCUUCCAAGAGAGAGGAAUAACAAGGAGACAAUGAGGAGCUAGAAUAUCAAGUUAGGUUCAAGAAAUAGAAGCUGGAGGAGAGAGAAAAUCAAGUUAAAGAUUGAAAUCAAUAGCACAAGGUAAGAACAUCAAGAUUUCAAUAUAUUUUUAAGUUUGAUAUUAUUGAAAAGCAUGGAAAUAAUGUUAUAGUAGAGUUUUCUUAUAUAAGGUAUUAUGUUCUUGAUAUAUUAGUGAAGAGAAAUAAGUGAAAGUGAUGAGAAAUAUUAUAGAGAAAGGGAAUAAGGGAGUUAUACACCUAGUAAUCAACAUUUUGCACUAAAACAGUUUUGGACAACAGCAAUAGGUUAACUUUGAAAAAUCACCAUAAAUUGUGGAAAUCGAAUUAGAGUAUGAAUGAAUAUGGAAAUAAAUCUUAUUAAGUCUAGUUUAUCAUAGAAGAAACAGUGUAAGUAAUGGAAUUGUAAAUCAUGAGAUAUAAUAAAUUUUGUGAGACAAUGUCAGAAUGAAUUUGGGUUCCCUUGUUCUAACUUGGACAAAUCAUUAAAAAUUGUAAAAAAAUAAUUAUGAGUUAUAAUUUAUAUUUUUAAAAUCCUUAUGAGUCUAUUUUCAAUAGAAAUAAACGGGAACAUCAUCCGAAUUCUGUACAAAGAGAUAAUUAAUUUUUAGUGAAGAGGGGUCGGAACUAUCAAACAGUGAAACAGGAGAAACUUUAAAGAAUAAAAUGUACUUAUUUGCUAAAAAAAAUUAUGAAAAUUUUAUGGUAAGAAUAUAUAUAUGAGUCUAGUUUCAAAGAAAGUUUUCAGAUCUCAAUUCGGAGUUCUGUAGCUUAAGAUAUAAUUAAUUUAGAGACUAUGACUCAAGUGAACAGCUUGUUAUGAGUAAACAAGAUAAUAGUGGUAUUAUGUAUAUAUCAAGGAUGUGGAAUGGAGUGGAGGAGGAGGAAAAAUAUAUGUGAAUAUUCAGAUAAUAUGAGUUUAUUUUAAAACAUCUAAUUUACAUGUUUUAGGUUCAGGGACUAAAUUGAAUAAAAGUAAAAUUUUAAGGGUAAUUUUGUAAAAAUGUAAAAAAUGACCAAAUUGCAUGAAAUGAAUUGUUUUAUCAUUUAAAUUAAUAAAUUGAAUGAAAUAUUAAUUUAGAUCAAGAUUUGAGUGGAAAUUCGAGAAAAAUGGAAAAUUACCAAAAUGUCCCUAAAUUUUGAUAUUUCUACAAUUUAGCCCGAUAAGUUCGUGUAACUUGAAUUAUAUUCUUAAAUGCUUGAAAUGUUUGUUAUUGAUGUGAAUAUGAUUUGAAUGUUCAUUGUAUGAAAAUUGAUGAAACAUUGAUAUAUUUGAUAAAAAGGGGAAGAAAUCCCGGUUGAAUGGAAGGAAAAUUCGAUGGAUUUCUGAAAAGGAAUUGACAGUAAAAAGGUAAUGGUAACCCCACGAUUAAUUAUUUCACUUAUGAAUUUCAUAGUAAUAAAAAUACAUGUUCAUGUUAGCGAAGUUAACAUUUAACACAAAAACACAAAUUCAAAAGUUAAAAAAACAAACAAUUAAAUAAAAGGCUAAAAUAAUUUUUUUAUAAAGUUACGGAACUAUAUAAAUCAUUAUGCCUAAAUAAUUAUCCAUUAGAUAUUUUAGAAAUUUAAUUAGACUUCUUUUGUUUACGGAUGCAUUUGGAUUGAAUGAGGUUUCAGUCACUUAUAUUUAGAGGUAAUUCUAUCAUACAUCCCUAAAUUAUGAUCCUUAUUCUAAAUUAAUCCUUAAAUUUUUAAAUAUUUUAAUUACAUCCUUAAACUAUUAAGGUUAUAUCAACUAAGUCCUUUUAUUACUAAAAUCGUUAAUAUAUACCCAUAAAAUGACACAUUAUAAGAUCUUAUAUGGCAUUUAAAGUGAUUUAAAAAAAACGGAUAUUGUAAAAUAUUGUAAAAAUCUUAGUUUUAAAGUUUUCGAAAUUAUAUAUUCUCACACACGAUAUCUUUCUAUACAUAGUGAUGGUAUCAACUCAUAUGGCUAUAUUCGAUUCGGUGGAAUAAAAAUAAAAUAGAAAUUAGCUUUCAGAGAGCUAACUAAGUGGUUGAUUGUAACAACCCUAACCCGUAUCCAUCGCCGAAUUAGGAUUACGAGGCAUUACUGAACAAAAUACAACCAUCUCAAAAUCAAUACAUAUAUAUUAUACAUAUACAUAUACAUUAAAUAUGCAAAAUGUUAAACUUCUCUUCUAACCAUUUUAAUAAACAAAGACAUUAUAAUCUAACUAGUAAAGACAUUACAAACUAGCAAAUCUAUAAGGAAAUAAACCAUUUUAGUAUGGCUAUUAUAUUCAUAUACAAUACAACAAAGUACGACCUUCAAAACAUUUAUCUAGUCUGUACAUGCCAUAGUUAGAAUUUAAAUAUUUUAAAUACCGAGACAAUAGAUAAUGUGAUAAACUUGCUGACGAUCCCUGAGCUUGAAGCUUGAUUUGAUUUUUUUUUUGAUCUAUAAACAGAUAGACGUAAACAAACAAAGUACGCUUACAUAGCUUAGUAAGUCUAUAGCAUAACUAAUAUAUAUAUAAAAGAAGAAUAAUAUAAAUUCAUAAUUAAACUUAUUGAAAUCGCAAAUACGUCAUAUAUUACUAUUUGAAUAUUUGUUACUCAUAAUCAUCUUAUUUAUAAUCAAAUAUAUGUACUCGUAGAAUGCUUACCAAUGAAUAUAUAAAUAUGUAUAUACAAUAUGCAUAAUAAUUGUAUAUUUAAAUACUCAUCAAAAACUUACAACCGAAUACUUUUAUAUAUCAUUUACAUAUAAACAAAUGCAUACAUCAUUAUCAAAUACCUAAAACCGAAUGCAUAUACACUUCAUAUGUGUGUAACCGAACGCAUAUUUAUGUACUUAACAAAUUUUAUAUCCGAAUAUAUAUAUACAUACACAUCAAACGAAUAUAACCAAAUACAUUUAUACUUACCAAAAUGCAUAUAUAGAUUUCUCACAUACAUCUAUCUAAACGCGAUUAUACCUAACAAUUUCAUAAAAUUGAAUAUAUAUAUAAAUCCAUACUUAUCAAAUACAUAUAAACUAAUGUUUAUAUGCUCAUCAAACACAAUGACCAAAUGUAUAUACAUAUUCUAUAAAUCCAUAUGACUAAAUCAUACACAUAUUCGAUACAUGUAAACACAUGAUAUGAAUAGAUUCACCGGCACAAAACCUGCUAGGCUUAAGGCCUGAUUCAAUACACUGGCACUUAGCCUGCUAGACAUAAAGUCUGAAAUGUUUCACCGGCGUCAAGCCUGCUAGACUUAAAGUCUGAAAUGUUUCACCGGCGUCAAGCCUGCUAGACUUAAAGUCUGAAACAUAUCACUGGCAUCAAGCCUGCUAGGCACCGAGCCUGAACACUCAAUUUAUAUAAAUACAAAUCACUUUCAAAAUGUAUAUGUAUAUAAGAUUCCAUGUAUAAAAAUUUAGCUCAAUAUAUAUAAAUUAUGCCUUUAAACCACAUAGGUAUAUAAAGUUCAGAUAUUGAAUCCAGCUCAAUAACUUAAUUAUACAUAUGAUCAUAUACAAAUAUAUAACUUAAUACAUUAAGGGCUACUAUUAAUAUCAUGCAUUCGAACAUCUUAUAGUAAUCCAAGCUAACAAUUUUGUACCUUCAACUCCAUUCAAAAGCUUCACAUGAAUAUAAUUACAUAAUUGAAUCUCACAUAAACUUAUAUAAUUAUCAUACCUAAAUUCAAUACAUAAACAUGUACAUAUAUAAGUUUGUAUAUAUUCGAGUCUCAUACAUACUUUAUAUAAUAGUCAUACCUAAAUUUAACACAAAAACAUAUUCAAUUAUAUUUGUAUUUCCGAACUUCAUAUAAACUUAUAUAAAAAUUAUACCCAAACUCAAUACAAAAACAUAUACAUGUAAAUAUAUAUAUGUAUGUGCUCAUUCAAUUCUAUCAUAUACAUAUAAAUUUCAACUCACAUGUACAUACCAUUUCAAAACUACUUAUGCAAAUAUAACAUAUAUAUUUUUAAUCAAUCCAAUAGUUUGUACAUAUAUGUACUUACAUAGAUAUAUACAUUCGAACCUUAUAUUUAUAUAUAUAUACACACUAUACAUACCUUUCGAUUAAUAACCAAGAAUUUAUACAUAAGCCAUAUUCAUUCUUCAACUAAAUUCAAGAGCUUACAUAUAUGUGUAUACAUAUAUGUAUAUUCGAACAUUAAUCAUAUAUUUAUAUAUAUACAUAUCAUUUUUACUUUGACUAAAUUCAAGCUAUACUUUCAAUUUAAGCUCAUCCAAAUACAAUAUAUAUAUGUAUAUUAAUUAAUAACAUUAAAUUGCUAGUUGACUUACCUCGGACGGUGAAAAAUCGAAAUCGGACGAUUAUUCGACGAUUUUAUCUUUCCCCCGAUCGAACUCCGAUUUCUUUGGUUCUUGAUCUAAAUAUAUCCAGAAUGAGCUAAUUUAAAUAUUAAAACAUUCAAUUUAAUCCAAAAACACAUAAAUAGGAAAAUUACCAUUUUGCCCCUAAUAUUUUACACUUUUUGCAAUUUAAUCCCAAUUGCAUAAAACACAAUUUACACAAAAUCUCACAACAACAUAGCUAGGCCGAAUCUUCCUUGUAUUCAUACAAGUCCAUGCAUUUCAUUUAUUUUUCAUUUUAGUCCCUCAAAAAUUUAUUUUUUUAAUUUAGCCCUAAUUACUCAAAUUUACCAAAAAUUCAAAGACAAAACAUGUUAAUCUAACACAUAUAUUUCAUAAUCCAUCAUCAAACAUCAUAGAACACAAUUAUUCAUUAAUGGCAUAACUCAAAAUAUUCAUCAAAAUCAAAAAUUCUAGCAUGGGUCGGAUAGUAUUCGAAGCAACGAUCUCAAAAAUAUAAAAAUUAUCAAAAACCGAGUUAGAACUCACCUUGAAUCAAGCUCAACAAUGGCCGAAUACCCUAGCUUUGUUUCUUUGUUUUCUUUUGUUUUGUUUCGUGAUGAAGAUGAAGGGAAAAAAAAUGAUAAUGGCUUUUUUUUUUAAUGUUUAUUAUAACAUAAUAAUAUAUUAUACCUUAUUAUAACAUAUAUAUAAUAUUAAUAAUAUAAGAAAACCAUAUAUAUCACCUAAUGCCGUCCACUAACUUGGAAAAUGGCUUAAUUGCCACAUAGAACCUCCAAUUUAUAAAGACAAAAACAAUUAAGCACUUUCAUAUUUAACCCUCAAAUUUUCACUUUACGCGAUUUAGCUAUUUUCUCAAAUUAAGCAUACAAACAGUAAAAUUAUUUCACGAAACUUUCACAUAUAUAAUUUCACACAUAUUUAACACAGAAAAUAAUAUUAAAAUAUUUUUAGACUCGGAUUCGUGGUCUCGAACCAUUUUGUCCGAUUAGGGUCAAAAUUGGGCUGUUACAUUGAUAGCUCUGGUUUUGAAAACCGGUAUAGUUCGAAACAAAGAACUAUUGAGGGUUCGAGUCCCUCUCUUUCCUUUUGCUUGAUGAAUAGAUUUCUUUCUUUAUUGCUUUUUCCUGGCUUCUUAAUUAAGAAUCUUAAUAUUAAUAAAAAAAUUAUUUUUGAUAUAAAAUGAGUUGAAACAAAAUGAAAACAAAAUAUUUUUUAAAUAUCACUUGAUUCCUUCAAUAUAUAUAGUGUAAUCAAAUUGAUUCCUACCUUAAGCAUCGAAUCACGAUCAAUUUCUUUUUCAAAUCCCACUAUGGCUGCGCAAGCUCUUCCCGCGUGCCAAUAAGUGACUCACGAGCAAAAGCUUUACCGUUCACUCUCUCAAACACUCCUUUUUUCUUUGAGGUUUUACUUUUAAAAUGAUUAUGUGGUAACAUUUUGCUUUCUUUUAAAAUUCUUUUUAAAUUACACCACUUAAUAUUUGACAUUAAAUAUUUUAAUGACGGAAGAACUAAAUUGAUAUUAAUUUUGAUAAUUUGAGGAUGUAAUUAGAACAUUUUAAUAAUUGGAAAUCAAUUUAAAAUAAGAGUUAUAGUUUGGAGAUAUUUAAAAUAUAUAACUUUUUUUUUUUUUCAACUGCAAAGUAUCACAUGGAAUUCAACUUUUUUGAUGAACGUACAAAUGAAGUGAUGAACAAAAAAAGAAGGAAGAAAAGCAAGUAAAAUGGAUUGAACCCCGAGUAAUAUUUUACAUUUAUUAAUCCACCAUUUUUUAUUCUUCAACACUUCAUGCUUUCGUAUAUUCUUGCUGGCUUACUGCAAAUAGUAGGCAAAGAAAGAAACAAGGGUGGCUCCAACCAAGGACCCAAGAACAGGCAUUGUUGAGAUUGCGACGCUGGAGUCUGGGCCUGGGGCAGCUGCUGAAGCUGAAGCUGAAGCUGAAGCUGCACCUGGAGCUGAAGCCGGAGCUGGAGAUGGAGCGCCAGCAGCCAUGACUUCGCUCAUAGAGGCGGCGACGGCCACAAUGACGGCGCACGAGAUCUUCUUCAUGUCCAUGGUAUUGAAGAAUAGUAAGCUGACUGAGAGUCGAGAGACUUGCUGCGACGAAAAACAAAAUUUAUUGAUUUUGCUUUUUGUUUUCUGUUUUUCUCGCAGGUCUGAAGAACAACGAUG